rnacentral:rRNA from 1 species
UACGGAGGGUGCAAGCGUUGUUCGGAAUUACUGGGCGUAAAGGGCGCGUAGGCGGCCGAUCAAGUCAGGCGUGAAAUUCCCGGGCUCAACCUGGGGGGCUGCGCUUGAUACUGAUUGGCUUGAAUGCGGGAGAGGAUAGUGGAAUUCCCAGUGUAGAGGUGAAAUUCGUAGAUAUUGGGAAGAACACCGGUGGCGAAGGCGGCUAUCUGGCCCGUAAUUGACGCUGAGGCGCGAAAGCGUGGGGAGCAAACAGG